UCUUCGGAGAGUUUGAUCCUGGCUCAGGAUGAACGCUGGCGGCGUGCCUAAUACAUGCAAGUCGAGCGAACUGAUUAGAAGCUUGCUUCUAUGACGUUAGCGGCGGACGGGUGAGUAACACGUGGGCAACCUGCCUGUAAGACUGGGGUAACUCCGGGAAACCGGAGCUAAUACCGGAUAACAUUUUCUCUUGCAUAAGAGAAAAUUGAAAGAUGGUUUCGGCUAUUA
rnacentral:ncRNA from 1 species